GAUGAAGAACGCAGCGAAAUGCGAUACGUAAUGUGAAAUGCAGAAUUCAGUGAAUCAUCGAAUCUUUGAACGCAUAUUGCGCUCUUUGGUAUUCCGAAGAGCAUGCUUGUUUGAGUAUCAGUAAACACCUCAACCUCUUCUUGAUUUUUCAAAAGGAGGGUGGACUUGAGCUAUCCCAACAACCUUUACCGGUCGGCGGGCGGCUUGAAAUGCAGGUGCAGCUGGACUUUUAUCUGAGCUAAAAGCAUAUCUAUUUAGUCCUCGUCAAACAGGAUUAUUACUGUUGCUGCAGCUAACAUAAAGGAUAAUUGUCCUCUUUGCUGACUGAUGCAGGAUUUUACGACACUUUAUGUGUUGUUCAACUCGAUCUCAAAUCAAGUAAGACUACCCGCUGAACUUAAGCAUAUCAAUAAGCGGAGGA
rnacentral:misc_RNA from 1 species